UGCAGUCGAGCGGUAGCACAGAGAGCUUGCUCUCGGGUGACGAGCGGCGGACGGGUGAGUAAUGUCUGGGAAACUGCCUGAUGGAGGGGGAUAACUACUGGAAACGGUAGCUAAUACCGCAUAACGUCGCAAGACCAAAGUGGGGGACCUUCGGGCCUCAUGCCAUCAGAUGUGCCCAGAUGGGAUUAGCUAGUAGGUGGGGUAAUGGCUCACCUAGGCGACGAUCCCUAGCUGGUCUGAGAGGAUGACCAGCCACACUGGAACUGAGACACGGUCCAGACUCCUACGGGAGGCAGCAGUGGGGAAUAUUGCACAAUGGGCGCAAGCCUGAUGCAGCCAUGCCGCGUGUAUGAAGAAGGCCUUCGGGUUGUAAAGUACUUUCAGCGAGGAGGAAGGCAUUAAGGUUAAUAACCUUAGUGAUUGACGUUACUCGCAGAAGAAGCACCGGCUAACUCCGUGCCAGCAGCCGCGGUAAUACGGAGGGUGCAAGCGUUAAUCGGAAUUACUGGGCGUAAAGCGCACGCAGGCGGUCUGUCAAGUCGGAUGUGAAAUCCCCGGGCUCAACCUGGGAACUGCA
rnacentral:rRNA from 1 species